rnacentral:rRNA from 1 species
AUUGAACGCUGGCGGCAUGCCUUACACAUGCAAGUCGAACGGUAACGGGCCUUCGGGUGCCGACGAGUGGCGCACGGGUGAGUAAUACAUCGGAACGUGCCCGAUCGUGGGGGAUAACGAGGCGAAAGCUUUGCUAAUACCGCAUACGAUCUACGGAUGAAAGCAGGGGACCGCAAGGCCUUGCGCGGACGGAGCGGCCGAUGGCAGAUUAGGUAGUUGGUGGGAUAAAAGCUUACCAAGCCGACGAUCUGUAGCUGGUCUGAGAGGAUGAUCAGCCACACUGGGACUGAGACACGGCCCAGACUCCUACGGGAGGCAGCAGUGGGGAAUUUUGGACAAUGGGCGCAAGCCUGAUCCGGCCAUGCCGCGUGCAGGAUGAAGGCCUUCGGGUUGUAAACUGCUUCUGUACGGAACGAAAAGCCUUCUUUUAAUACAGGAGGGUCAUGACGGUACCGUAAGAAUAAGCACCGGCUAACUACGUG